AUAAGUCUCAAGAAUAUGUUCUGAUAAUCCCAUCUUGCAGAGGAAUUGGGAUCACRCAAGCAGAGAGAUAAGGACUGAGACUGGAGCCACUCACCUGCUGGCUGCUCUGUACUGCUGGCUGUGGUUGUCGGAGGAGCAACGGGAAUCUCUGUUUCCAGGUUUUGCCAGCAGCACCCACGGGAUGGCAAUCACAUGCUGUGAGGAACAGAAGAGAAGAGCGCUCUGAAGACAAGGCGCGUGUUGUUUUAACACCUGCAUUGACCUGGGACAUUCUCUGUGCUGAGGUUUCACAGCAGCAGCUCUUCCUGACAGGCCUCAUCUGAAGUUGAGACACCUUCACAGUCACAGAGGAACUAGAGGAGGCUGGAGAGCAACCCCCACUGGUGCUGUUAAACACACACACACACACACACACACACACACACACACACAGCGCAAACAUACGCAAACACACACUUCUACGGUGGGAUUCCUGUGAUGAGACCCCAGCCAAAUGACAGAAAGAGAACAAUUGUGUUCCACUACUUUCAACACUGAUGCACACAAACAGAAAUAAGCUAGUCACACCUGCUCCUUGGGYCAGGCAGGAUUCAGGGUGACUGCCCUUCAAUAGAGAACCACACAAAAGCGGCAGGCGCCUCGCUCCUGCCAGACCUUUCAGCGCACACACCUAUACGACCAUGAGACUCCGAUGCACCUCAACACACACACACACACGGGAAUGCCUGGCAUGUACUGAGUGUUUUGAAUUGCAUUCUCUC